GGAUGUGGUUCAGUGGAAGAGUGUCUGCCUACCAUGCACAAGGACCUGUGUUCAAUCCCCAGACACACACA
rnacentral:tRNA from 1 species